CAAUAGCGUAUAUUAAAGUUGUUGCAGUUAAAAAGCUCGUAGUUGGAUUUCUGGUUGAAGCGACCGGUCGGGCGUUGAUUCGUCUGCACUGGAGUCGGUUUUGGCCAUCCUCUAGGAAAGUGCGUCUGGUAUUAAGUUAUCGGGCGUAUGAUCCUGGGCUUUUACUGUGAAAAAAUUAGAGUGUUUAAAGCAGGCCUUCGCCUUGAAUACAUUAGCAUGGAAUAAUAAGAUAGGACUUUGGUCUAUUUUGUUGGUUUGCAGACCGAAGUAAUGAUUAAUAGGGAUAGUUGGGGGUAUUUAUAUUCCGAUGUCAGAGGUGAAAUUCUUAGAUUUUCGGAAGAUAAACUUAUGCGAAAGCAUUUACCAAGGAUGUUUUCAUUAA
rnacentral:rRNA from 1 species